rnacentral:lncRNA from 1 species
CCCAGAUGGAAGGUGACCUGGAUGUCCCUUGGUGUCCAUGUUGCUGUCUUUAGCACCUGGAAGAGGAGACGGCUGAGCCAAAGACCUGCCGUGGAAGAGCUGGAGAGAAGAAAUAUCUUGAAACAAAGGAAUGAUCAGACAGAGCAGGAAGAAAGAAGAGAAAUCAAGCAAAGAUUGACAAGAAAGCUUAAUCAGAGACCCACUGUUGAUGAAUUAAGAGACAGAAAAAUUCUGAUACGAUUCAGUGAUUACGUGGAAGUAGCAAAAGCGCAGGACUAUGACAGGAGGGCAGACAAACCCUGGACGAGACUGUCAGCAGCAGAUAAGGCAGCAAUUCGUAAAGAAUUAAAUGAGUACAAAAGUAAUGAAAUGGAGGUACAUGCAUCAAGCAAGCACUUGACAAGAUUCCACAGGCCAUAGAGAUUUUCUUCUGAGAAGAAUUUGUGUUUAAUUUUUUGAUACCAACACUGAACAUUCAUCAGGGAACUUUCCUGAAGUUCAGCUCAAGACUACCCUACCUGCUGUGUUUGUGAGAAGAGUAGGAUCACACACACAGGUGCAAUCUUGACCACACUUACCUGCAAGAGGAGUAACCAGAGGACACACUUCCUUCCUUCUUUGGUGUCUGAGGAGUGUGAACUGUUGGGGUCAGUUAAGACCCAACAUAACUCUAUCAGAAGAAAACUGUUGUUUGCCUUUCAACCUUGUUUUACAGUUCUGCAGUGUAAUGGAGGACGGGCAACGUGCAUGUGCAGGCUCACCACUCCCAGGCCUCUGACAUGAGGGACAUGUGACAGUGUCAUUCAGUAUUAUGUUCAAAAGACAUUUUUAUCCUGAUCAUAAUUAAUUUGAAAACUCUUUAAGUUCAUGUUAUACAAGAUGAUUUACUGUAUUAUACUUUUCCUUUUUUAUAUAAUGUCUAACAAAAAAUACAGCUGCAACAUUUUGAUUCCUGUUAAUUUUGUUCUUUAAUUAAAUGACUACUUAUUGCAGGAAAUUAA